rnacentral:rRNA from 1 species
GACAGAGGGUGCAACCGUUGUUCGGAAUUACUGGGCGUAAAGCGCGUGUAGGCGUCUUUGCAAGUCGGGCGUGAAAUCCCAUGGCUCAACCAUGGAAGUGCACUCGAAACUGCAGAGCUAGAGUCCUGGAGAGGAAGGUGGAAUGCUUGGUGUAGAGGUGAAAUUCGUAGAUAUCAAGCGGAACACCGGUGGCGAAGGCGGCCUUCUGGACAGUGACUGACGCUGAGACGCGAAAGCGUGGGGAGCAAACAGG